rnacentral:rRNA from 1 species
GUGGCGACGGGUGAGUACACGUGGGCAAUCUGCCCUUCACUCUGGGACAAGCCCUGGAAACGGGGUCUAAUACCGGAUACGACUACUGAGGGCAUCCUUGGUGGUGGAAAGCUCCGGCGGUGAAGGAUGAGCCCGCGGCCUAUCAGCUUGUUGGUGAGGUAACGGCUCACCAAGGCGACGACGGGUAGCCGGCCUGAGAGGGCGACCGGCCACACUGGGACUGAGACACGGCCCAGACUCCUACGGGAGGCAGCAGUGGGGAAUAUUGCACAAUGGGCGAAAGCCUGAUGCAGCGACGCCGCGUGAGGGAUGACGGCCUUCGGGUUGUAAACCUCUUUCAGCAGGGAAGAAGCGAAAGUGACGGUACCUGCAGAAGAAGCGCCGGCUAACUACGUGCCAGCAGCCGCGGUAAUACG